AACUUUAAACUAAUUUUUAAUACCUUCUAAUUAACAUAUUUAAGGAGUUAAUUUUCUCAACAACAACUCCAACAUCAAUGUUAAAUAGACCGUAAGUCUCUAGAAUAUCGUGUCAAAAGAAAUGCAAUAUUAAAAGAAUUGUGGCAAGAAAAUAUCUGAUAGAUAUGAAGAACAGAUUAAUGCUGCAAUCCAGAAUCAGUAUCUUCAAAGUUCAAAUGCCCCUAUAUAUGAUACUACCACUCGCAUGACAUGGAAUAAGGGGAAAAAAGAUCCCUUUUUUUUUCCUAGAACCAUCUCCUACUAAUAAAUAGAAUGAAGAAGCAGUUAGAAUAUAAGUGUGGCCAAACUAGAAUUUCAUCAUAUGUGAUGGGAAAUAACUCUCUUUUCAAAGCACAUUAAGCAAUCACAAAUUAUUGACAAUGGAUAGGAACUAGGUUGAAUCUGGAACAGAAAGGCAGCAAAAGUCAGUGAAGAGUAAUAUGAUUACAGAGAUUAACAGAGCCCAUAUAACAUGUGGAACAU
rnacentral:misc_RNA from 1 species